CUGCUGCCUCGUGGUCGACAUACGAACGACGACCACCCUGAAUUCGGUUUAAUUGAGAAGUGUCUGCAGCCUUUUGUUGCCCCCAGGUCGCUUGGAGAUUUUCCUUUGCCAUCUUGGCCAUCAGCUCCAUGCGGUCCCGGAGUUCCAGCACAUAUGGUACUAUGAGAUAACUCCCUCAUGUUCCGUUCCCCAUUCCCAGAUUUCCCAAAUGAGAUCAAGGGGACCUCGUACCCUUCUCCCAGUAGAUUCCUGAGGCACCUCUCGAUGCGCAGGUGAGGCAGGAAUCGCUCCCAGUCUCUGUACUCGUCCGUAAAGGUCCUUGUAAUGAAAUCCCAUUUUAAACAGACUAUGAGAAACAACCUGUUCGGUUAUUUAUGCGUGUGUGUGGUGAUUUUGUGCAAAUACCAAUUAAACAAACAAACUACCGAAUCACCCGACCUCCUAUGGAGGUCGUGUGGCGCUCAUUAACCGCCCAGACCUUGCGGUUAACCACAGAGUAAUUGGGGAACAGCUUGGUGGGCCACGUUCGUCUGCCGAACACGUGGCGGUUGCCAUUUU